CAUACAAAAUUUUUCUCUUGAUAAUCCGAGAUUAUAAAAUUAUCUCGUUUUAAACAACUAGAUUUUCGGUGUUAUUCCUAGUUGUAUCGAUAAUUUUGCGAAGAAGAUGAGAAAUGUCAAAUGAAAAUGUAAACAAAAAUGGCCGCCAGCGAGAGAAAUAUGUGUGAUACAACAACAAAUGCAACACAUUUGACAAUUGAUAAUCUAUUAUUGAACGAGCUUAGAACGAGAUUAUUUUCAUAUGUAAACAUACUCCUAUUUGGCAUUCAGGUUGGCGUUAUCGACAUUUACCGAAAAUAAAUUGAGAUUCCCUAAUUUGAAACGAGUAUAUUGUAACGGAUUUCCAAAAUCUGCCGUUUACUCUAAAACUCUACCCUGAGUUCGAUCACUGGAUUGUCAAAUAAAAGUCACACUUUAAUGGCUAUACACUAAUCUUUAUUUCUAAUUCCUUAUAACUUAACACUUUAGUACUCAAUACUCUACUUUACAACUCUAACUUAUAACUUGUUUACACUUUGCUCGACAACUCUCUCCUUAGAAUUGUCCUCACUCGACAACUCUCUUAUUAGAACUGUGUCUUGCUGCCAGCCCGGCAGCCCUUAUAUAGUCGAUUGCUAACAUGUUAUCGUCACUCGAACAUUCUGGCAACUACGAAUAUCGAUGUCUAGAUACAUCUGGCAAGUUAUCGCCUUCGAUUGUCUAUUCUGGUUUGUUCUGGUGCCAUUUUCGUUACAAUAUAAACGACACCGAAACAGUCAUUCUUUGUCGUUGCUAUAAUUGAGAGCGAGAUAGAAACGACUCGGUUGUUAGAAGGAAUAUUUGGGUUAGGAUGCAAAUUCCACAUCGGAAGUAGAAAAUUUUAAUUUCUGAUGUGGAAAAUAUCCUGCAUAUGCCAAAGAUUAUAGAAAAUUUAAAUCCUUUAAAUUCCAACCUUUAAAUCUCGCAUCGGAGAUAGUUAUAUAUAUAUAUAUAUUUGGCGUAGGAACCGCUUUAAGCGAUUAUAGCCGAAUCCACCAGAGCGCGCCACUCAUUCCUCCUUUUUGCUUUUUGGCGCCAACUGGAAACACCAAGUGAAGCCAGGUCACUUUGCACUUGGUCUUUCCACCGGAGUGGAGGUCGUCCUCUUCCGCGGCUUCCUCCAGCGGGUACUGCAUCGAAUACUUUCAGAGCUGGAGUGUUUUCUUCCAUCCGUACAACAUCGGAGAUACCAGCCAAAUUUUAGUCAACUUUUACAACGCUAUAAAUUUUUCGUAUAAAAAAAAAGCACGCCAUAAAACCUAUCGUUCCAGUAAGUAAAAAGAAAAGGAACACCAUAAUACAAGUAUAACCAAAGUACAAGAACAUUGACGCACCGUCUUUAAUAGACAGUUUCGUAAAAAAGUAAUGACAACAGUAUAUGAAAAGAUAUACAGCCGUAAAUCCUGAUGUUAAAAAAGACCGCCACCACCAGUGAUAAUCUUCAGCACAAAGAUGAAAGUAACAUAAUAAAACUGUUGUCUCUGAACACGUUAUGACCAAUAUUAGAAAAACAAGAAAUAAAAAGCCGAACAUA